AGGCCCCGCUCCCCAGGCCUCGGCCGGCGCGGACCCCUGGUUGCCCCGGGGUCGAGAGCAGCCGGGGAGAGCUGAGUUCAGAGCCCAGAGUUGGACAUCAGGCCACACGCUGAGAGGGGCCCCAUGCUGCUUAGUGGCCGAUUUGCAGGGAAUCUGGGCACAAUCUUAAUAACACCAGGGCCAAAAAUAACAACGUUCCUGGGAACCGAGCAGCUGGAGCGCACCCCAUGGACGCUGGGCCAUCUCCCCGGGGACUAGUGCCUGACAGAGCUGACAGAGUUCUAGGCCACAUGUGGGCUAGAAGGAACCGCCAUGUCUACCACAGCACAGUCCUUAAGCAGGAGCCUUUUGAAGCACUUGGACUCAAAACAAUGGCUGUUUGUUGUUGUUGUUGUUGUUGUUUGUUUGUUUUGAGGGAGCCAGAAAGCUAAAAAAUGUAAAAGAAGCAGGUCACAUUAGACAUGAUUUCAGACAGCCUCCCCGAAGGACAGAUGAUCUCACUUGGCAACACAUACUGGGCCAGGCUCACUCAUGAGGGGGCAGCGUGGCAUGCACCCCACUCAGGGGCAAGAAUGAAGCUUAAAUAUUAGCUGACUCAGAACAUAGCAAGUGCUCAGUAAUGGCUUCUGGAACGAACCCGUGGUUGUCACCAGCAGGAGUGACGAAAGCUAGAAGCCGUUUCACCAUCCAAGGAAGAGGAGGAACAAUAUUUUUCUCUUUGGAGUUCCCACACUCAGAAGAGAGAACACCAGCAUAUGAACACAGAGUGUCACAUGAUGUAGGAAACAUCCUGUAGGUAGAGAGUAUAAUUCCAAAGCUUAGGAUCCUGCUAGUUCCUUGUGCAGUGCUUCCGGUGGGCAACAUGGUGCCUCCCCAGUCCCUCAGGCU
rnacentral:lncRNA from 1 species